CCAAGAGUGACUCACCCAGUGAAGACCAGAGUACUUAUUGUUCCAAGUGUCAAAAUCUGCAGAACUGCCUCCAGGAUUUGGGUCUCAUCCAGCUUCAAUGAACGAAACAUUCCAGCAUCUUCCUCCAGUACCUGUGAAUGCUGCAUUGUCUUCUCCCUGUGGCUUUUGUUUUUGAAAGCUCAUAAAGAGGAACCCAGGAAGUCAGGAGACAGCAGGGUGACCAUUUCCGUCCCCAGAACAGCCUUCAGCCAGUUUCUACAUGCCUCUUGCCAGGGACCAAACUGGCACCUAGGCUGCCCCGGAGGACGCAGAAAACCAGGACCCGGCUGGGGGCUGAAAUGUACUCCAUUGAAGAAUCCUCUGGCCUCCUCAGCACUGGAAGGACCAGCCAGCGGCAGUGAGAGUUUAUCAUUUGGAGGGAGGAGCAAGUCCUUCAGGCUGCCUGGAUUCCAGAACGAAGCUCUUUUUGAAAGAAGAGGCGAGGCCCCUUUCCGAGAAGUAAGCCCCCCAGCGUGGCUUUGAAGAGCUUUGCUGACAUUGUUACAAGAGGUAUUUAUUCUCCACCCAUCUAUUUAUUCCUUGGAUGUCAACCACAGACUCUGAAAAUCCACUGUGUAUAAAAGCUCAAGUUGCAAUGAUGGAGUGCAGAGAGAGAGGGUUUUAUUCCUUGGCUGCUGUUAGAAGAGGCCCAAACCCUGAUGCCGGCUCCACCCUGAACAGCUGGGCGAAUGCUGGCCAAUUUCUUCUCCUCUCCGCAUCUUAGAUGCCUCGCCCGCAAAGGAAGGCUAAUCCUAGGAGCUCCCGUUGCAGAACUUUCAUUCGCAAAUGGCUGCUGAUACGCUGUCAUCUAGUCAUUCAACAAACAUUUGCCGAGCGCCUACUAUGUGCCAGAUUCUGUUCUAGCCACCAGGGAGACAGCAGGGGAACAAGACAGACAGUAUCCCUGCCUUCAUGGAGCUGAUGUUCUAGAAUGCGGGAGAACUUCUCCAUUUCAGACUCUGGGCGUCGUUUCUGAUUUAGUUUUAGAAGUUACACAGGGCUUUGGGGAGUACCUGGUACUUAGGUCAAUACUUCUUUUUUUCUCUAUUGUCACGAAAUGGAUGGUAAACUACCAUUCCCAGGAGAGAAGGACCCGGGGAUAGUGUGUGCAGGAGGAGGGGUGUCGGCGACUCUGGGUCUGGAGGUUGCAGCCACCGUGGUGACCUCAGGGUCCCCAUGAAGAAUCCUCAGCCCAGCUGAGACAAUGCCGACCACACCACCCUGACAACAGUGAGCAGAAGCCAGGAUCCCCCACCCCGUGCAGCCUGACUUCUGCAGCCAGUGAUGAAAAUCUAGCUCUAAAGUCAGGGGCACAACCUAGCAACGUGGUGGGGAACCCAGCCUGCUGACAGAGUGGGGUAUUUCAAGCAUACCCCGAAUGCUUGGCUUCUCUUAAAACAUCAGAAAUUUAGUCACAUCGGGGCAAAUUCCUGCCUGGCUGUUCUGAGCUGAGGCCUCUGCCCUCCAGGUCACUCCUGACCCUCCUUUAUGUAGCCACACAGCCUCUGAUGACACCUGCGUUUUCAAUCCCAUCUCUAUAUAGAGUGGGCAGGAGUUUUGAUGAGGUUAUAGGUGGCUUUUUCUCUCUUUUUCAUGUGACUGUGCUGGGUCUUAGUUGUGGCACGUGGAAAUGGUCUGUUGUGGCAUGCAGGGUCUAGUUCCCUGACCAGGGAUGGAACCCUCCCCCUAUACUGGCAGCGUGGAGUCUUAGCCACUAGACCACCAGGGAAGUUCCUAUAGGUGGCAUUUUAAGUGAUAAGAAGCUUUCUCCACCCUGGUUGGUGCAGGCAUGGAAUGGGGUGGAGCAAACCCAAGACUGGGAACCAGAUAAUCAGUGGUUCAAAAUCCUGCCUCUGCCAUUCAUUGACUGUGUGAUCUUGGGAAAUUCAGUUUUUUCAUCUUGAAAAUGGGAAGCUGUGUCCCAUUAGACUUUUGCAAGGAAUGAAUUAACACAAAAAGGUCUUCUAUGCACCAGGUAGAGUCAGGGGUGAGGGGCACAGAGGACUAGGCAAGACAUUGAAACCCAAAAUCUAUGGAGAUCAGACAGGUAAUGCAUAUGAGUAAAACAGCUCAGAUGUGGGGCAAUAGGGAUUGGUGGGGAGCGGGCUGAAGUGAACAAAUGAGCACCUGCCUUGUUUAAAAGCCAUUUCCAGCCAGUUGUCAUUGUGUCAGAAUGUAGAGCCCAAGGUCACCAAAUCUUCUGAUUUUUUUUUUAAAAAAC
ensembl:lncRNA